rnacentral:rRNA from 1 species
CUUUUUAAUUGAGGGCUGGAAUGAAAGGUAGAUACUGAAGGGAAAGUUUUUUUAGAUAAGUUUGAAUUUAAUUUAAGAGUAAAAAAGCUCUUGUGAAUUUUCGGGACGAGAAGACCCUAGAAGUUUAAAAUUAGAAAUUUUUGAUUGGGGCAAUCAUUGAAGAUAAUUUAUUUUUAAUAGUUGAAAAUGGAGUUUGGAAAUUACUCUAGGGAUAACAGCGUUAUUUAAUUAAUGAGUUCUUAUUAACAAUUAAGUUUGCGACCUCGAUGUUGAAUUAAAUUAAAUUAAUGGUGAAGGGGCUAUAAGAUUUAGUCUGUUCGACUAUUAAAAAUUUACGUGAUCUGAGU